rnacentral:sRNA from 1 species
UAGGUAAUGACUACUUCACCACACUUA